rnacentral:ribozyme from 13 species
UGGCCAAAAUCCCGCUGGGGAAAAAGGGGGAAAGAAAAAAAAAAAAAGGGGAGGGGGGAAAAAAAACCUUUUUUUUGGGUUUCUGGAGCUGGGGGGGGAUGUUUGCAAGUUGCUUUUUUUUU